GGGGAUGUAGCUCAAAUGAUAGAGCGCUCACUUAGCAUGCGAGAGGUACUGGGAUCGAUACUCAGCAUCUCUA
rfam:Tropilaelaps mercedesae isolate Wuxi-XJTLT scaffold0000001134, whole genome shotgun sequence.